CAAUGCCGUGGUCGUUAUCGAUGGCAAACGUGGUAACACCACGAUAGCGUCGAGUCUCUGGCAAAUGACGAGAGGUCUCUAUCUUCGAGUUCGGAAAACUGCCGGAGAGAAGAUUCGAGCGUUAAACACGACCGACUCCGAUGGCGAGCAGCGACGAACGAGGAUGCGCUCGAGCGCGUAGCCUGUGCCGCACUCUCAGUUUAUCCCCACUACCAACUAUGAUCGGCAUCCGGUGGUAACUGAGGCGCGCAUUCGCAAGCAUUUCUGUUCGCUGAUUGGUGCAUAGCCGUUGCUACUUGGCCUGCCAUUGGUCGAUUGCACACCACGAAUUCCCGCGGCGUUCACUAUCCAUGGGACACACAACACACACGUAGGAAGCACACGAGGCCACUCUCGAUCUUACACGAACGAUAUUCAGCGAGGACACCGCACACACGACUAUCCACGUACACAUACACAAACACACACAGCUGUACAUGUUUGUAUAUGUACACACGUGCAUGUAUAUUACUACUUGCGAGCUUUUGUACGCACACGUAUAGACGGCACCGACGUAUUUUUGCGUGCGCAUGUAUUGGAAGAUUCCGCACGCCCGCGCUUCGCUACGGUCGUAUGAUGGUCGAACAGGAACUGGCUACAAGCCGCGCGGAAACGCGCUACUUAUGCUGCCGAUGGGAAGAAAACCGACGAAUCAAGGCAGUCUUUAUACCCGCCGCCUUUGGACUCCAUGCUACAGGUCCAAAAGGCCAUCGUAGUAGUAUACGCUUCUCAAACGUGAAUACGGGGAUGGAUGUCAGCCAAUCCCUUUUCUUGCUAUGCGCAAAAUCAUGAAAAAUAUUUAGCCUAAUAGCGUCUAUGCGAAUUUAUCUUUUUUCCUUACCAGUGUUCGUUCGAGGAUGUUCCAACAAAAGUAACCAGGUUACCGCGUUUUGCUAUUACUACUUGCGCUGAAAACAUCGUCGAACCUUUGACCCAUUUUUCUAUCGAUCUUCCAUGUUUCGCAUAUAGGCCACACCGUAAUGGCCUCCGAUCAUCAAAGAUUCGUUUCUCCAGGUAUUUCAACUCCUACACAUUCAUCACGUAUAUUAUCCAUCGCCUUUUUUAUUCGAAAAGUAAAACCAUUAAUCGCGUAAUUCUAAUUUCAUAGAUCUACGUAACCAUUAGACGCACACACGAUCGUUGAUGUUACGUAACGCGUGAUAUUCCUUAAAACGACUGGAAUUAUGUAAAUAAUGUAAUGUUUUUCCUCUUCGUUUGAAACACAACAGAUCAAAACUUAAAAACAUAAAAGCGUAAUAUCGUUAUACGAAUGGAAAAGUCGAUGAUCACAUAUUAUCCGAGAACACGAGAAAUCGGAGAAAAUAAAAAUUUGCCAAUUGACGUUAGCAAGUGCAAAGAAGAGAAGAUUAGCAUGUUAAAAAUUGAGUCGAUCUUUACUAUCCAAACAUUAAAUGCGAGAGAACGGUGCUAUGCGAAUAGCGGUUAGUCGAUUAACGAAACUCGCGCGCACAGGGAAGAGGAAGGGGUGGUGGCUCGGUAGAACAUUGGAACUCGACUUGGUCGUCCUAUUUCUACGCUCGGGAAGGUUCGUGCCGCGAACCGAUCGCGCACGAAGCAACGGGGAUAUAAGUAGGUCGUUUCAAGCGCACGUGUCGUCCUUGACUCACAUAGCAUGGCGCGCAGGCGCUCACCGUUGCCGCAUUGCUGGUCGCUAGGGCUUUUUCUUUGUUCGCCGAGCGCGCCUGUGUUCGCGCGGAACACCAAGACGCGCUCUCUUAUGAAUACACCGUGUGCGUGACUAUUGCUCACACGCACUACUCUAUGCACUCUGCAAAAUGAGCUAGCGGCUUCACGUCAUCUAUCUAUCACGUCCAAUGUUCUCUACUAUGCUUUUACCACAUGAAUGUAUUUGUUUCGAUUAAUUAUUUCCGGAAGCUCCUACCUUCUUAUACGUUAACUCGUUUGAAAAAGGGACUUUAACCAUACAGAGCAGCGACUGAUAUAGUACGGUAAAACAUUCGAUUCUUUCUUUGCAGUAUCGUUUCUUUAGCAAGACUGUCGUAUACAAAAUUUAUUUCCUCUUACGUAACACGGCGAUAAAAGGUUCAAGAAAGUGUCACGAUAGAGCACGCAAAGGAUUCUGUGGAUGGACGAGCGAUACAGUGCGAGGUCGAGACAAUGGUAAGGCGGCGCGUUGUGCAACUUUCAAGGAGAAUGAGCAGCACGCGUGUCGUGCGUUCCUGCGUGUUCGUGGACGCAUAUGCGCACGCUCGAUGAUAAUCGACAGAAAGAGAAAGGUCAUCGGGGGAAUGGAGUUUCGCUUCCUCUUCCUCGUUGCGAUUACGAGUAGGUAAGCGGGUAUCCGAAAUUGCGGAGAGUGACGCAACGCGCAGCUGUAUGUAUAAAUUCACGUACAUACGAGCAUUCACGGAUAUGUAGUGCUUACGAGUGUGUACAUUUACGUGCAUGUAUAUAUGUAGAUAAAGUACUGGAUAUGCCGGCGGAAGCACGGUACUGCACGACAACGAACUACGUUUUUCAUGCAAUUAAGAAUUCGCGCUGCAGCUGCUUUCGUUUAAAUUAAAAUAUUCGAUAGCUUUUAUCGCAUUAUAGGUUCAAAAAAUAGAUCGCCUCUGGGACAUAAAGGCGUUACAUAUAUAUAAGAA